rnacentral:misc_RNA from 1 species
AUCUUGAAUUUCAAGAAGAAAAAUGCACCAUUACCUGAAGUUGCAGCUACACCAAAAGGCUCAUUAAAGAGAAGGAUAUCUAUGUACAGAGCUUUUAGUGGUUUACAAAGUAGAUUCAGUUUCAAAGGUUCGCCUGGUAGAGCUGACAAUGAAGAUGAAGAAGUUAUUUUAGUAAGUUCACUGCAGCAAGAAGGGUCACAAGGACACAGUCAAACUAUGUUUCUUAUGUCAUCUGAACAAGGUGGAGAAUAUGAGAUGGUUUUCUUUAGAAGACUUGAUGAUGAAUUCAACAAGGUGAUAACUUUUUACAAGAAAAAAGUAGGGGAAGUGAAGGAUGAAGCUGAUGAAUUGAGUAAACAAAUGGAUGCACUUAUUGCUCUAAGAAUUAUGGUUGAUAAACCUUCAAUUGGUAUGCGUAGUGACCAAGUAAUGAUGGAUGAUGAUACUACUUCGUCUCCAGGAUCAGUAGUUCCUACUCAUAAUAUCAGAAGUCCAGGUGGGGCACAUAUGGAGGCAAUUCAAGAAGUUGAGAUGACUGGUGAAGAAAUUCUGGAAGAGGAAUCAACAUCUAAAGAAAAGAAGAAUCUCAUGCGUUUUAGGCCUGCUCCAAUAGAGAUUUUGGACAAUGUAAAAAUCAAUAUUGAUCCCGCAACACCUAUCUCGACUUUGAAAAAUGUGAUCAGAACUUCAAAAGCAAACGUAAAAUUCAGCAAAGAUGAGCUCAAAAAAGCCGAAGAACAAAUGAAAAAGGCUUUUGUUGAGUUCUAUAAAAAGCUUAGACUUCUGAAAAGCUACCGUUUACUAAAUGUGUUGGCGUUCUCCAAGAUCAUGAAG